UUGAAGUCACAUCUUUGUCUAAAGGAAAUAUUUCCAUGAGCCUUGAAUCAGAAUCACUCAAGAACUUAAAUAUGAGUCCUUUAAUAUGGCUCCAUCAUAGAGAUUUUGAUUCAUUAGAUCUGGGUGCCUAGCCCACCAUCUGAGAGGCAGCAGCACAUAGUAGUUAGGACCAGGAACUGUGGAGCUCAGUGACUUAAUACCUCUGUGACCUCAGAAUAGUAGUUUUGACGGUCCUGCUGAGGCCUGGGCUCUCAGAGGCCCUCGGAGGAAAUCUGUGUGGGGAUGUUGAGCCGGCGGCUGAGGCUUGGAAAGCAGGUGCUGUCAGUAAUGAAGAUAUAGCCUCAGGAGCUA